rnacentral:rRNA from 1 species
UUGACAUCCAGAGAACUUAGCAGAGAUGCUUUGGUGCCUUCGGGAACUCUGAGACAGGUGCUGCAUGGCUGUCGUCAGCUCGUGUUGUGAAAUGUUGGGUUAAGUCCGCAACGAGCGCAACCCUUAUCCUUUGUUGCCAGCGGUUCGGCCGGGAACUCAAAGGAGACUGCCGGUGAUAAACCGGAGGAAGGUGGGGAUGACGUCAAGUCAUCAUGGCCCUUACGGCCAGGGCUACACACGUGCUACAAUGGCGCAUACAAAGAGAAGCGACCUCGCGAGAGCAAGCGGACCUCAUAAAGUGCGUCGUAGUCCGGAUUGGAGUCUGCAACUCGACUCCAUGAAGUCGGAAUCGCUAGUAAUCGUAGAUCAGAAUGCUACGGUGAAUACGUUCCCGGGCCUUGUACACACCGCCCGUCACACCAUGGGAGUGGGUUGCAAAAGAAGUAGGUAGCUUAACCUUCGGGAGGGCGCUUACCACUUUGUGAUUCAUGACUGGGGUGAAGUCGUAACAAGGUAGGCGUAGACGU